ACAUACAGGAUGAUCUAUUUAUCACAAACCGGCGAUUUUCUUGUGAGAUUCUGAAGUAAAUUUAAUUACUAUUUUGAAAUGGCAACACAUCCUUUCCAACGUGGAUUCGAAAAAAUAAUAUUUUUCCAAAUAUAUUGAUUAUUCAUAACGAUAUAGCUAAUUUAGAUCAUUUAUCAUUUACCAGUUAUACCAGUGGCGUAUUUACGGCGGAGAUUUGUCUCCCCCUCCUGACAUUUUACAGUAUCUAUUAUUAACAUCAAUGCAUAUUUUUUAAAUUGAUAUGUAUUUACUUUGAAG